rnacentral:lncRNA from 1 species
CAGAAAUGAUAGAAUAGCAGUUACCGGAGUCUAGGGAUCGUGGGAGGGAUGAUGGAGAGAGUCUGGUCAACAGUGGGCUGAAAAUUUGCCAAGAACACGGACGACUGGACAGUUCACUUUCAUUUGCAACAAUUUCCAAGAGGACCCUCGGUUACACAGCAUAAUUACCAAACUAAAGCAAACAUGUUAAAUGCCCUGCACCUUUUUUUGAGAUGCCAAGUAUGGCCUUCUUGGGUGCCAUGAAGCAGUAAGAUAGCCUCAGGCAUCAGCACACAUUCCAGGUCCAAAUCCAAUUCCCACGGCCCAGCAGGCAAGCUGGGACAGUGGAAAUGCGAGUAUAUGGCCCAGCAUUACUCCGGAGGACUGUGGGGGUGAGCGUGCCACUUCCCAGAACCGUGGCUCUGACAGCUUCAACUGCACUCACGUCAGUGCUAUUAAGAGAUGUUCCUAACUUCAAACAUUGUGAAAUCUCACCCCGCUCCGAGGACACAUCCCUCCAGAUCUGUCUCCGAUCAACACGGGAGGCUGUGCUUUGUGCUAUUAAAAAUUUCUCUGGAACAAGAAGGGCAAAAUGCUGAUGCUUCAUGAUGCAUACAUGGGGGUUUGUUACACAAUUAUCUCCAUUUUGUGCACAUUUAAAA